rnacentral:rRNA from 1 species
CCUACGGGCCGCACCAGUGGGGAAUUUUGCACAAUGGGCGCAAGCCUGAUGCAGCCAUGCCGCGUGUGUGAAGAAGGCCUUCGGGUUGUAAAGCACUUUCAGCGGGGAGGAAGGCGGUGAGGUUAAUAACCUCAUCGAUUGACGUUACCUACAGAAGAAGCACCGGCUAACUCCGUGCCAGCAGCCGCGGUAAUACGGAGGGUGCGAGCGUUAAUCGGAAUUACUGGGCGUAAAGCGCACGCAGGCGGUCUGUCAAGUCGGAUGUGAAAUCCCCGGGCUCAACCUGGGAACUGCAUUCGAAACUGGCAGGCUGGAGUCUUGUAGAGGGGGGUAGAAUUCCAGGUGUAGCGGUGAAAUGCGUAGAGAUCUGGAGGAAUACCGGUGGCGAAGGCGGCCCCCUGGGCAAAGACUGACGCUCAGGUGCGAAAGCGUGGGGAGCAAACAGGAUUAGAUACCCGCGUAGUC